rnacentral:rRNA from 1 species
UACGUAGGUGGCAAGCGUUAUCCGGAAUUAUUGGGCGUAAAGCGCGCGCAGGUGGUUUCUUAAGUCUGAUGUGAAAGCCCACGGCUCAACCGUGGAGGGUCAUUGGAAACUGGGAGACUUGAGUGCAGAAGAGGAAAGUGGAAUUCCAUGUGUAGCGGUGAAAUGCGUAGAGAUAUGGAGGAACACCAGUGGCGAAGGCGACUUUCUGGUCUGUAACUGACACUGAGGCGUGAAAGCGUGGGGAGCAAACAGG